GUAUGAUCCCAGCGGGCCCCGAGAUUCCCUAUGUGUUAUCUCUUUGAAGGUGGAGAGCAGCGGUCCUUCGUACAGAGUCUCGCUGGCUGCUGAGGAACAACACCAGCCCGCCACCGCCACCACCCACACCUGAGGAAGGGGAGUCCCAAUCAGAGGGCGCCUCACCAUGACCAGAGUGGCUGUCAUCCUGCACACACUCCAGGGGGUCACUGAGAAGGCUUGGUGGUUCUGUGAAGCGUCAACGUGCCCUCAGUGCGCGAUGCCACCCGCCGAUGCCAAGACAGAAUGACGAGUCCCGCCCCCGCAGCGCCUCCUGUGGUUUAUAUCCUGCCACCAAGAGGAUCGAAUGACACCAUGCCUUUCACAUAACCCAUAUACUACUGAAUGAAGGGUACGCGGUAUGGGUUCCAAUCCUUCUUGUUCUUUCAACACAGGCGAGGUGGCGUGAACAAUGCUCUGUUUUUCCAUAAGAACACUUUGGGACUCUCCAUGGUAAACAAGCAGGUGGGAAUACCCUCGCACCUGUGUACCGAGUCAGAGUCACAAUAGUCCAUUACAUUGCUGGAGAUAUUCACGUGCUUUUUUCUGUUAAGAUACAGCUGAAUUUUUUAUGUAUAAUAAUCUUAUUUAAAUAUUCCACAAAAAAAGAAAAUCGAUCCUGGAUUCUGAAAAUGUUGAUGAAUGAGUGAGUGAGUGAGUGAGUGGGAAGAUUGAGCCUUUCAGCUGAGUCAACGCCAGACUCAUACCUCACCUCUUAAAAAAAGAAUACGAAAAUCGUUCUGUCGCAG